UGGGAUAGCUCAGUUGGCACAGCAUGAGACUCUUAAUCUCAGGGUUGUGGCUUCGAGCCCCACAUUGGGCAAAA
rnacentral:tRNA from 1 species